rnacentral:rRNA from 1 species
UACGUAGGGUGCAAGCGUUACUCGGAAUUACUGGGCGUAAAGCGUGCGCAGGCGGUUUUGUAAGCCAGAUGUGAAAUCCCCGGGCUCAACCUGGGAAUGGCAUUUGGGACUGCAAGGCUGGAGUACGGCAGAGGAGACUGGAAUUCCUGGUGUAGCAGUGAAAUGCGUAGAGAUCAGGAGGAAUACCGAUGGCGAAGGCAGGUCUCUGGGCUGAUACUGACGCUCAUGCACGAAAGCGUGGGGAGCAAACAGG